rnacentral:rRNA from 1 species
GACGAACCGUGCAAACGUUGUUCGGAAUCACUGGGCUUAAAGGGCGCGUAGGCUGUUCGUUAAGUCGCGGGUGAAAUCUUUCGGCUCAACCGGAAAAUUGCCUGCGAUACUGGCGAGCUCGAGGGUGGUAGGGGCGAUCGGAACUGCCAGUGGAGCGGUGAAAUGCGUUGAUAUUGGCAGGAACGCCGGUGGCGAAAGCGGAUCGCUGGAUCACUCCUGACGCUGAGGCGCGAAAGCUAGGGGAGCAAACGGGAUUAGAAACCCGUGUAGU